GAUAAACGCUGGCGGCGUGCCUUACGCAUGCAAGUCGUACGAUCCCGACUGCCUUCGGGCUAUCGGGAUAGCGGCGAACGGGUGAGUAACGCGUGGGCAACCUGCCCUAAAGACUGGGAUAACUUCUCGAAAGGGAGCUAAUACCGGAUACCUUUGUAGAUAUGCAUAUAUUAACAAAGAAAGCCUUCGGGUGCUUUAGGAUGGGCCCGCGUUCCAUUAGCUAGUUGGUAAGGUAACGGCUUACCAAGGCUGUGAUGGAUAGCCGGCCUGAGAGGGCGACCGGCCACACUGGGACUGAGAUACGGCCCAGACUCCUACGGGAGGCAGCAGUGGGGAAUAUUGCGCAAUGGGCGAAAGCCUGACGCAGCAACGCCGUGUGGACGAAGAAGGCUUUCGAGUUGUAAAGUCCUGUCACAGGGGACGAAGCCCCAACUUGUUUGGGGUGACGGUACCCUGAGAGGAAGCCCCGGCUAACUACGUG
rnacentral:rRNA from 1 species